GUCUUAUCUGCCUGUUUUUCUCCUUUCCCAAGGAGACUGUAAGGACAACUGAACAAUCUGGAAGAUUACGAUAUUACGAGUAUCAAAGGAAUGAAAUGGGUGCCUCUGAAAGCGAGUGGGAUCUCUGUGCCAGCCCGCAGGGUGUAUUAGCCACCCCACCGCUCCAGCCGUACCGAAGAGGUAGAGGGAAAAAUCUCUUUGCUAAANNNNNNNNNNNNNNNNNNNNNNNNNNNNNNNNNNNNUCAGCAGGGAUUUGAGCAGGGGCUGACGCCGACCCAUCAGCCCCCAUUGGGAACAGAGUUGGACCCAGCUCAUCGCAGUAAUUCCCGAGCUUAUUUCCUCAAAUUGUCAGUUUCUUCUACGUCCGCAUCAUUAUUUCAGUUCCUGCAGCCAAGUUUUCAAGCCCUGCAGAUACUCGCUGCCUUUCUCCUUCACCGUAUCAAUGCUUGCUUUCUUUUUUUCAAGAAAUAAUUGCAAUGCAAACAUUUCUUCCCAUUUUAGAGAGAGAGGUUGACGGGCACAAAACAUGCCCCAGCAUUGCAGUAAAACGGGAAGGCGUCCUUCGGCCACUUUUGUAACGCAGUCGUGUAUUAUUUCCACCUCAAGUUGCUUGUCCCUAUGUGCUCGCUAAAUCAUGCAGGAGCCAAUUCUCUAUCGUGGAGCAGCACCCAGAGUUUGGUUCCAGCAAACUGAGAGGGUUUCUCACAAAUUUCCAGUGAUGGUACAGUUAAGAAAAAAAAAAAACCCAAAAGCAAAACCAGCUCUGGGCUUUUUUCAUGCUUUCCAGGUUUCCCAAAAUGCUCCAUCACAGAGGAUGGGACUUGGCGGGGAAAACCCCCGUGAUGGAAAAGAGAGGGAUGUGCUGAAUGGGUGGGCUGGGGAGGCCAAAAUGCCCCCCGCGACGCCUGCAGUGACUUCUCCCGGUGGGCCCGGGCGCGCUUUAUUCCCUUCCUCUCUGCAACAACCUCUCACAUACUUGGAGCCUGUUAUUAUGUCUCCCCUCAGCCUGCUCUUCUCUAGACUAAACAAAUCCAAUCCUUCAGCCCCUUCCGCACAGGCCAAGUUUUCUCGGCUCCUGGUUGAUAUCGCUGCCUUCCCCUGGCCUCUCUCCAGUGGGUCACGCUCGCCGGGCUUCAGAGUCCUUCGUGAGCAGAGCGGAGGGGACGGGAAAGACGAUAAAAAGCAGAAGAAAUCUGUCUGCUUCGGUAAAACAGGGCUGAGGUGGAGAUGCUGGUCAAAACCCCAGAGCACACGCCAGAAGGUAGUGAGUAAGAAGAGGGCAGACGCGUACGACAUUCGCUGCUUCCGGUGCGGCCGGUUCCCUUGUGAUUUGUGCGGUUACGGACCCCCAAAACAGGAGGUCGUGCUCAGACCCGAACUCAAUUCAACGGAAAAGACGACAUCUUCCCUGCCAUGAGUCAGACAAUUCAUCGGGAAUGAAAAACCGCGCAAGCAUUCGCCAGGCCCUUCAAGAGACGGAGAGUUUACAGCGGGCAGUUUUGAGACCUGGGACAAGUCGGUGCAGCGUUGUUACAAGGUAUUUCCCAACCAGCGGGACGACAUGCCAGUUAGCAGGCAGUGACUCGCGGGCGGCCACGUGAGCGGCAAGGGUGGGCACCCCGCGCCUCCGCGACGCCCGGAGGCCAGGCCCCCCGUGCUACCAGGGGCGGAUGCGUGAAAAACGCUCGUUCGCUAAUCGGUGCGGUCCCCUGGCCAGCUCCGGGAUUCGUAGGGGAGAUACGUGGCGUUCAGGGAAGGACAACGUUUCGAGCCGGUCCCAACCGUUAAGCGACGCGCGGUUGUGCUUGACGUGGUGCAAAGCUGCGUGGGACCAGCUCCUCUCUGCAGCCCCGCGCACGAAAACCAGCGCUGUGCAGCGGGCGCCGCCGGUGACUCACCCGCUCCUAGGGCAUUGCUCAGAGGCCGGGAGCGAUCCGUGGUCGGAUGCUCCAGCUCCGGUUUGGCAUCCCUCAAACAAACCCUUCAGCCCCGGAGGCGCAAAGUGGGUUUCUAGGCUGGAUCCACAGCAAGGCUAAGAGACAUUGGGCCACCAGCCUCCCCACGUGGCCCCAGACCACGUGGCAAAGCCCCCGGGAGACACAGGGGUGCAGAGCAGGCACUGGGACGGGUGUUCAGGGGCGACGGGGAGCGUUUAAGUUAAAAAGUGACAGUGCAUUAAUUGCCCUUCCUCCCCCCUGCAAGGGGGAGGGCCUGUUUGCUUAUAAUUAGGUAAUGAGUUAAUUAGAAUUAAUUAGUUAAUGUUUGCAAAGCGCUUUGGAGAUGAAAAGCAUCAGCAUAGCAUGGCUGGGCGCAUCCUCACGCUCUCCUUGGCGGGGUGCGGGACCCUGAUCCGGGCGGCAGCAGGUUCCCUUUAACCCGCGGCGCUCAGGAAAACCUCAAUGCAUCGCCAUCCUCUG
ensembl:lncRNA